AAUUCAUCUAUCAUAAACUUAUCAUUUUAGUAUCUCUGCCAUUUCAAACUUGAAAUGUAACAGAUUUAGCAGUUUCUCACAAAUCAAGAAUAUUCAUUAAGUAUUUCAUUAACAAUAAAAUAUAUUUGUUUCAACAAGUGUCUUUAUGACUUGAAAUCAUAAUUGUUAAUUUGUGCAAGAAUAUAUGUAAUAAUGAAUAAAAGUUGGAUGGAUAUUUCUGAUAGAUGACUUUCUCAAUAUGAGAAAAAAAUUCAUGAAUUUCUUAAAUUUGCAUUUAGCAAUUUAGAUGAAGGGAGAACAAUCCAUUAUCCAUAUAAAAGGUGUAAUAAUAAUUUUUUUAGGACUCGAUAGUCCAUUUACGAAUGCUUGAUUAUCAAUGGGAUAAAUAAGGAUUAUAAGCGAUGGUUUCAUCAUGGAGAGCAAAUGUAUGAAUCUGAUGAAGGG
rnacentral:lncRNA from 1 species